CUGCCGCCGCAGCCCAGGCUUGGCUCCCCCUGCUUCCCGGGCUCCUCACACGCUUCUGGAGCUCCUCACACAGCCGAGCCCAGACUGCGGCGGCGAGAGGGGCUCAUAGAGUCAGGGCUGCCCAGGCUGGGGGGGGCAAGUGUGGCAAUUUUCCCCAGGCUCCGGUCCCACAGGGUAUGUCGGAGGCUCUCCCCUCCUCCGUCUUCCCCCAUCCCCCGGUGUCUCAGCUGGUAAGGGGGCGGGGCUGAGAGCUGCAGCCGAGCGGCGGGAACUCAGGCCCUGCUGGAGACACCACGCCACUGCAGUGCUGUUGGGAAUAGGGGCCGAAACCCUCUCUUUGGGCUCGUUAUACCAGUAUAAAUCUUAAGUACCCUGUGAUGCUGGUGGACCAGGUACCAGCUCUUGCUAAGGCUGUAGACAUCAGCUGAGCAGAGAUAAAUUCAUGGCUGGAAACCAGACCAGCUCACCUGUAGACAGGAGGAGUGGCUUACCCAGCCCAUCAAGAAGGAGUAUCAAUACUAAGUGGGCCAUUGUGAAACAUCAUGAUACAAACAGUGGGCUAGGCCCUCUCACAGCAGUAAAGGUGCUAUGUGCAAGCAAGCUUAUCCCAUCAACUUGAAUUAUGGAAGAAAGAAACAAAGAUUGCUGAAAAUGAAAAUUCCUCAUCUCUUUGCUGUUUGGACUCUCUCGCAGGGCUGGAGCUAGGAAACAAAAGGAGAGAUCCCCUGGGUUAGCCCUAAAACACUAAUUGCUGACAGAUUAGUACAUUUCUUUCACCUUUUGGAACCAUAGACUGUAAGUCAUUUGUACUAUAUGUUGCCUGCUUUAACCUGUAAAUAACUCUCAUUUCUUUUUCCUAGUUAAUAAACCUUUAGUUAGUUUAUUACAGGACUGGCUACAAGCAUUGUCAUUAGUAUGAGACCUGAGAUACAAGUUGACCUGGGGUAAGUGACUGGUCUCUUGGGCCUGGGAGCAACCUGAAUAUUUUGUGAUCUUUGGUGUAAGUGACUAUUUAUUACUAAGUCCA